AACGAACGCUGGCGGCAGGCCUAACACAUGCAAGUCGAGCGCCCCGCGAGGGGAUCGGCGGACGGGUGGGUAACGCGUGGGAAUAUGCCCUUUGCUACGGAAUAGGCUCGGGAGACUGGGGGUAAUACCGUAUACGCCCUAUGGGGUAAAGAUUUAUCGGCGAAGGAUUAGCCCGCGGUGGAUUAGGUAGUUGGUGGGGUAAUGGCCUACCAAGCCGGCGGUCCAUAGCUGGUUUGAGAGGCUGAUCAGACACACUGUGACUGAGCCACGGCGCAGAAUCCUAGGGGAGGCAGCAGUGGGGAAUCUUAGAAAGUGGGGGCAACGAUGAUCUAGCCAUGCCGCGUGAGUGAUGGAGGCUUGAGGGUUGUAAAGUAAGUUAAGCUGGGAAGAUAAUGACGGUACCAGCAGAAGAAGCACCGGCUAACUCCGUG
rnacentral:rRNA from 1 species